GAUGAACGCUGGCGGCGUGCCUAAUACAUGCAAGUCGAGCGAACCAAAGAGAGCUUGCUCUCUGAGGUUAGCGGCGGACGGGUGAGUAACACGUGGGUAACCUGCCUGUAAGACGGGGAUAACUUCGGGAAACCGAAGCUAAUACCGGAUGAUAAAGAGAAACGCCUGUUUCUCUUUUGAAAGUCGGCCUUGUGCUUACGCUUACAGAUGGGCCCGCGGCGCAUUAGCUAGUUGGUGAGGUAACGGCUCACCAAGGCGACGAUGCGUAGCCGACCUGAGAGGGUGAUGGGCCACACUGGGACUUAGACACGGCCCAGACUCCUACGGGGGGCAGCAGUAGGGAAUCUUCGGCAAUGGACGAAAGUCUGACCGAGGAACGCCGCGUGAGCGAUGAAGGCCUUCGGGUCGUAAAGCUCUGUUGUCAGAGAAAAACAAGUACCGGAGUAACUGCCGGUACCUUGGCGGUACCUGACCAGAAAGCCACGGCUAACUACGUGCCAGCCGCCGCGGUAACAC
rnacentral:rRNA from 1 species